rnacentral:sRNA from 1 species
UUAACUAGGUAACCCGACGUCGACAUAAU